GCGAAUUAAUACAAGGUGGAGUCAGUCAAACAGCUGAUAACUUUUUUUUUCGCUUUUUGGUUCUAACAAUUGUCAAAGCUUGUUUUUAUAUUUAAAUAUCUACAUAUUUUAAGCUUAUUAACAAAAUAUUUAUUGUUUACAUAAAUAAGUAAAGCCCUCACUAUUCAAUUAUCUACACUAUAUUAAGUUUAAAUACUUAUUUGUUUAAUUUUUCAUUUUGGUUUUUUGACAUUUGUUAAGACCAAUUGUUGUUUUUGUAGAACUGACACCACCUUGUAUGAAUUCGCCUUGUGUAUGUUCAUUGUGCAAAAAAAAAUUUACCAGUGGCAGUGGUAACUUAUUCAAUGUGCCAAAAGACCCGGUUAAAAGGGCAACGUGGAGUGAAAUUUGUGGCAAAAAUUUCGCAGCUACAAAUCUUGUUUGUGCCGACCACUUUCUGCCAACAAGUAUUGCACGCACAGGAAAAAGAAUGAUUCUUUUGCCUAAUGCUGAGCCUUCUGUUAAGCAACAGCAGGAAUCUAAAAUGUCUGUUUCUCAUGAACCAGUAAACUAUACUGUUAGCACCCUUGUUGAAGAAAGUAAUGAACCGUGUGUGCCAACUGCGUCUGACCUUAACAUUUGGGGCAACCCACUUAACAAAACACCUUGCUUCUUUUCGUUGGAGCAACUUGCAAUGACAGCAACAUCACAAUGAACAAGGAACUCAAACAGAAACAUCAAAUGUCGAAAAUACAAGUGGUUACUAUUCUGAAAGAAUUCGUGCUUUAGAAACGGAAAACAAAGAGCUAAGGAUGCAACUUGCACAGGCAAAUGUGGCUGUCGAUUCCAUGCGGCAAAUAUUUUCAGAUGAUUUGAUGUUCGAGAAUGAAAUUAUAUCUGUCCGUACCAUAGCCGAUUUAUUAAAACACACAUCGAAGUCGGAUGCGUCAAUAACAUAUAAAAUAUCUGAGGAACAUCUUACGGUUAAAGGUCCAGCGCGACAGAAAGUCAAAUUGGCAACACAACUGUUUUCUAACACCACAUCCAAUGCGAUUAGACGCUGCUUCUCCCUUGGAUUAGAUAUAUACAACCCCACAAAAACGGCCGACUUUUUUCAACUUGUGAAUGAUUGGUUCGAUGUUCACAACUCUACAUUGAAGGCGUUUAA